AGCAAGGUGCCACGUGUCAUAC
rnacentral:piRNA from 1 species